rnacentral:rRNA from 1 species
GACGAACGCUGGCGGCGUGCUUAACACAUGCAAGUCGAACGGAAAGGCCCUGCUUUUGUGGGGUGCUCGAGUGGCGAACGGGUGAGUAACACGUGAGUAACCUGCCCUUGACUUUGGGAUAGCUUCAGGAAGCUGGGGCUAAUACCGGAUAGGAGCUCCUGCUGCAUGGUGGGGGUUGGAAAGUUUCGGCGGUUGGGGAUGGACUCGCGGCUUAUCAGCUUGUUGGUGGGGUAGUGGCUUACCAAGGCUUUGACGGGUAGCCGGCCUGAGAGGGUGACCGGCCACAUUGGGACUGAGAUACGGCCCAGACUCCUACGGGAGGCAGCAGUGGGGAAUAUUGCACAAUGGGCGGAAGCCUGAUGCAGCAACGCCGCGUGCGGGAUGACGGCCUUCGGGUUGUAAACCGCUUUCGCCUGUGACGAAGCGUGAGUGACGGUAAUGGGUAAAGAAGCACCGGCUAACUACGUG